rnacentral:rRNA from 1 species
AUACGUAGGGGGCGAGCGUUGUCCGGAUUUACUGGGCGUAAAGGGUGAGUAGGCGGUUGUAUAUGUCAGGUGUAAAAGGCUAUGGCUUAACCAUAGUUCGCACUUGAAACUGUAUGACUUGAGUGCAGGAGAGGUAAGCGGAAUUCCUAGUGUAGCGGUGAAAUGCGUAGAUAUUAGGAGGAACACCAGUGGCGAAGGCGGCUUACUGGACUGUAACUGACGCUGAGUCACGAAAGCGUGGGUAGCAAACAGGAUUAGAUACCCUGGUAGUCCACGCUGUAAACGAUGAGUGCUAGGUGUUGGGUAGCGAUACUCAGUGCCGUAGUAAACACAAUAAGCACUCCGCCUGGGGAGUACGUACGCAAGUAUGAAACUCAAAUGAAUUGACGGGG